GGUGAACGCUGGCGGCGGGCCUAAUACAUGCAAGUCGAGCGAACGGACGAGAAGCUUGCGUCUCUGAUGGUAGCGGCGGACGGGUGGGUAACACAUAGAUAACCUACCUAUAAUACUUGGGUAACUUCGGGAAACCGGAGCUAAUACCGGAUCAUAUUUUGAACCGCAUGAUUCAAAAGUUCAAGACGGUCUUGCUGUCACUUAUAGAUGGAUCCGCGCUGCAUUAGCUAGUUGGUAAGGUAACGGCUUAACCAGGCCACGAUGCAUAGCCGACCUGAGAAGGAGAAUCAGCAACACUGGAACGAGGACAGGUUCCAAACCCCAAGGGAAGCAGCAGUAGGGAAUCUUCCGACAUGGGCGAAAGCCUGAAGGCGCACAGCCGGGUGAGGGAUGGAGGUCUUUCGAUCUUAAAACCCCGUUAUUAGGGAAGAAAAUAUGUGUAAGUAACUGUGCACAUCUUGACGGUACCUAAUCAGAAAGCCACGGCUAAACUCGUG
rnacentral:rRNA from 1 species